GCAAUUUAUUUCACUAUUACCUUAACUUCAUUUGGUACGAGCUGCAAACCAAUCAAUAGUAGUGACAGUGCGAGAAGGCUGCAGAAGCGAAAAACUAAAGUUCAGUUUUUGGAUAUCGAAUUAGAUUUUGACAAUGGGAAGUAUUUUGCAUUACUGAGAUUAUCUCGUGGACUAAGAGGGAUAUUGGAGGCUGCUGUUUUUACUUCUUACACCUUGGAGAAUAAUACCGAAUUUUCCUUGUUUUGUUUUCCUGCAAAUCAUAAGCUUGUUUCUAGGCAUGCCGGGGAAAAUAUUGCUUCCCUAGUGUCUCCAGAAUUAGGAUCUUAUCUUCCUCCCAGAUCAAUAAAAUCAUGGCUCAGCAAAUGCCACAAGGUGCACAUCACACUAUUGGAUGAGAGAGCUUCCAAAGCACCCUUGA
rnacentral:misc_RNA from 1 species